UACUUUUCAGUCAGAGGCUUAUCAUCUGCGGAGGACGAGACGUUUAUUAACAGUGGUUACAAAUUCUGACAUAUGACAAAUGAAAGGAAAUUGGCUCUGGCGGCUCUGUUGUAUGCUGUAGAAGGUGUUUAUUUUGCUGGAUGACGCUGGCGCUGUCCUCAGGGCAUGCAGGCUUUGAUGAGUAUUCAAAAAAAAAAAAUCAACGAGCCUUGGGAGCCCAUGACCCUGUCACCGGUUGUCCUACCUCGGAACACUUUUGAGACACAGAAGAUUUGCGGAAUCUAUGUCAAGAUUGACUGAAGCUGUUCUGGUGGCACUAAGACACUUUAUGUCGGUUUUUCCUUUAAUUUGUCACCUGUCUGUAUGAUCAAUUAACUCAACUGCCAACAAUGUGAGCUUUAACUCAACAAUGUAGGUGUUACAUCACACUGGACUAAGUUAUUAUCCAUUACCUGCAAUGUGUGGGGGCAUCACUGCUACAUAAUCCAGUCCAGACUCCUUCAGCAAUAUGUACAUGCGAUCAUGGUCUUCAGUUACAGGAAUCAUGCGAGGAGGAACCUUUGCUCGGUCCCACAGCAAAAAUGCUGUGGACAAAAACAACAUAAUGAUUUUGCAAUUCACAUUAAAUUACAUAUUUAAAAUGCAUAAAUGAGUCAUACCGGACAUGCAGGCAAUCACUUUGCAGAUGCCACGGGCUUUCAUGGCCUCCAGGAUGUUCAGUGUGCCCUCAGACAUCAUGGUGGUAGGACCUACAGAUCAGACAUUUUCAUAUAUAAAAAUACCUGCGUACUGUUUAAAAUAUCACAUUUUACUACAGUUAUAGUAUAGUACAAUUUUUCCUCAGACCAAGCAGUGGUUGUGUCCAUAAAGUUUUCAAGCCUUCCUGAAAACCAUGUAUGGUGAACAGAAUUCUGGGCAGACUGCAGGACAUAGGUUUGUCUUUGAGUCCAUAUAUUUGGAAAUGAGAACUGGAUUGUUUAAAUAUAAAACUAGAGUUUAAAUAUGGAAAUUUUCAAGUAGGAAUGAGGAAAUUUGAAUAAGACAUAUGUUGGUCACCGGCCACUUUAAUAGGAACACCUGUACACCCGCUUAUGCAUGCAAUAAUUCACUCAGCCAAUUGUGUGGUAGCUGCACGUACAUAAAAUUGUGCAGAUACAAGUCGAGAUCCUCAGUUAUUGCUCACAUCAAACAACAGAAUAGGGAAACAUGUGAUCUCAGUGACUUUCACCAGGCCAUGCUCAUUGCCAGAUGGGCUGGUUUUGACAUAUUUAAAACACUGCUGAUCUCCCAAGAUUUUCACACACAAUAGUCCUUGGAGUUUACAUAGAACGGUGCAAAAAACAUCCAGUGAGCAACAGUUCUGCAGAUGGAAACAUCUUGCUGAUUUGUAAAGCAUCUCAGAAUGCACAGCAUGUCAAACCUUGAGGUGCAUGAGCUACAACAGCAGAAGACUGAGAACAGGAAUCUAAGGCCACAGUGUCACUGAAAGCUGGAAAUUGGGAAAAAAAUGUUGCCUGGUCUUUUUUCUGAUGUUUAAUGUGAACUGAAGUGCUUGACCUUUAUCUUAAUAAAGUAGUAAUGAGUGUAUUUAAGGUUUGGACAAAUGAUAUAUUCAUUAGCUAGUGCAGUGGGUAAGUAAAAACUCCAUUGUUCUACCCAGUCUCAUGUUUUGGUUGACUGGCUAGUUAAAUAUAUUAAUAUGGGCUAAGGGAAAUGAAUGAGCAUAUUAAUUCCCAGGGAGUAGAUUAUAUUUGCAGGACUAUAAUCCUUAUUCUCUCCUAAUAAGUUUGCGAACAUUUUAUUCCCCCUACUAUGGUUGUGAAACUGUUUGUCUGCCUUUGUCUGUUUGUUGUGAACCUGUUUUGUCAAAAAAAAAAUCUAAUAGUCUGGACAAGAAAACUGAUUGUCUUGAGCCCCGGGGCUACUGAUUUGUCCACCCAUCUAUGUGUAUGUAUUUUCACAUAUUUUAGGCUAAGAAGACCUAACCUGACAGGAUUUCUAAAGGAAUUUUAAGUCAUAUUCAUAAAUGUUUAUACUUUCAACCUUCAGUGCUAGCCACAUAGCUAACUAAUAUGGCAGGACAUUUAAGAGUCUUACCUCUUUGAGAGCACUUGUUAUGCAGUGACAGGUGGAUAUGACUGAUAACGUACAAACUUAAAGACAAAAAGACCCUGCUCCUUAAAAUUGGUCCAAAAUAAAAUAUGGCCAAUGAUGAUGAUAAACGAUUUAGUAGUAUUGCUUCAUAUCAGGACACUCCCCUUAUGUUCAACUACCCACUUCCCACUUGGGGGAAUUUUUAUUUUUUCUCACAAAAAGAAAAACAUUUAUCCACUCAAACUCACUAAGGUCAUUUCUUGUCCCCAGGAUGAUGAUGACAGCAUCCUGACCCUCCAAAGUCUUCUUCACAUCCUCUUUGUUAAGGACAUCUCCCACCACCACCCGGGAGGCUUUAUGGUCAGCGGGCAGCCUGGACGGAUCCCUCACCAACACGGUCACGUUAUAACCUGGGACAAAAAUAUUCAGAGAGAUAUUAAAUAGCUGCUAAAUAAACACCAGUGUGUCACCUCAGCAUCAGCUGUUGGCUGUUAAAGAAAUUUAUUAUGUGUUCAGUGGACUAGAAAAACACAGAUAAAGUGUUGGAUUUCCAGAAAAUACACUUUUUUGCAGUCAGUGGUCAAAGCCUCCUCUACAAAGCAAAGUUUUUGCAAAAUAUCUGACUGAGCAAAAGGUUCUCCACAUCACAAACGCAAAUGAGGAGCAAUGGCACAAGGUAGCGGGCACAAGGAGAGAGUGAACGUGUGUUCGAUCAAGGUGUCCUGCGAUGGACUGGCUUCCCAUCCAGAGUGCAUCCCUUCCUCACGCCCAGUGUUCCUGGGCUCUGGAUCCACCACAACCCUGAACAGGAUAACGUGCUUACUGAAGGUGAAAGAAUGAAUUACAUUCCUUCAUUGCAUUAUAGUAUUUUUAUUUUUGAUUAGAAAAGCAACUAAAGCAUCUUAAAAGAAUAAUAUCGAUGCUCAUUGGUAGAUAUUCUGAAUUAAACGGGAACCACCCUCUCUGGGGUGAACAGAUAAAAAGGUAGUCUGUUUGUUCUGUCUUAUCACUGUGACCCGCUGCGCACACCAUGACUCAGCAGAAACGUCUGCGUGAAAGCUGAGUCACGAUCAGAGCAAACGAUGACAAUAAGAAAGAAAUGGGGGAAUUGAUUCUGAUUGCUCAGCAUCUUAGUAAAAAAUUGCCAGUGCUGAAUGAACUCUGACAGUGCUAGAAAACCUGCAGUGUUUAUAAAAGUUAAGAAACACCACACAUGUUGAUUCAGCUCUGGAGACUCUUAUAUUCUGUUGGAUGUACUUUGGGACAGAAAAUAAUAUUUAAAAUGACCAAAUUUAAACACAGAAAUGUUUUGUGGGGAACAGUAAUGAUGCACAACACCACUUCUCAUGCCCUGGGAUGCCCCUACCAGCAGUUGUGUGAUAUCAGAUAUGAGUGCAUAUAAGACAUGGAGGUAAAAUAAUGUCACUUAUUUGCUAGUCUGUAUUUCUAUGAAACAAAAAAGCAGCUGGUGUCAAUUGAUAUUUUAGCACUUUCUGCAAUCUCUUUUAUUCUCAAACAUAACCUGUGUAAUAGAAAUACAUGGUGGGGGUAUAUACGGCAGAUGUAAGAUAAAUAGGAUAGGGUCAUGGCUGACCCUGUGCUCUACGUCCUGGCAUGCUGGGGUAUGCAAAGAAAAUUAUUUCACUGUGCUGUAAUAUAUACGUGAACAAUACAGACUCAUUAUCAUUAUCAACAAUAAGUAGCUACAUUUGUAUAUACUUUAAGUAAAACGUGUACAUGGUUAAACGAGCAGUUUUAAGUUUAGGCUGAUGCAUUUUAAUUUCACUUCAACACUUCUUACUCUCAGUAAUAACUUAAUAAGUAUGAGUAGCACACGUAUGCUUCCCUAAUGACUUUACAGUGAUGCAGAAGGUGUUACUAAGGUGCUCCUGUUGUCAUGAAGUAUUGUUAUUAAUAGUACAGAAAAUGGCUCUCACCUGCUGCUACUGCAAUAGGUAACGUCGCCAAGCCUGUCAUUCCCGUCGAGCCAAAGAUCGCCACGUUUUUGAUCGAAUCAGACAUUUUACUGCGACUGGAGGCUGAAUUCCACUUAAAACCAACAGGACAGAAAUGUUAUGGUCUUAUCAGAGGUUCCUCUCUUAUAGCUACAAUUCGACAGUCAAACGCGUGCCACUCGUGG